GGUGCCCCAGCCUGGCUCUCCUCCUCCUCAGAGGCAGGUCUGCUCUGCGCCGGGGCACUUCUCCCAGCCUCCCAGUCCCCAAUGGCAACCUGUAGCUGGCGGGAGUGGGGCAUCCCAGAUACUGAGUAAACAAGGAUGCCCCCUUCCCACCAAGGAAAAAAACAACUGGACUGGACCGGGGACUUUUCUCCUCCUCAGGGGGUGAAACUUUGGCCUCGGGUGGCUGCAGCAUCUAGCUACCGCCAACAGUCAGGGAAGUCUAGUUCCUUGUGGUGGGGACCGGAAAGGAGGCCGAAGACAUACUGUGCUACACUCUUGCUGACGUUUCUGCCGAAACCACAAUCCCAGCACAUCUCUCCUCCUUCCCUGCCUCUGCUGUCGCUGGGCCCCAGGAGGCCUUAGGAGAAUCCUCACCCACAUGGGCGCCCCCUCCAUGGAGGACAGACAGAGAGGAGUUGCAGCAUAGAUCUUCCCAGGAGGAGCGCGUGGAGCAGGUGAGGUGAGCCGGGCUGGGAGCGGAAGGGAGUGCGGGGGACCCCUGUUGCUUCUCCCCUUGGGGGUGGUUAUUAGGUAGGCUUGGAGAAGGCGGAGUUUGGGGGGCCGGGGGCGGGGCUCGGCUGCGCUGGAAGGAAGAGGGGGGGCGCGCUGGCUCCAGCUCUGCUCAGACAAAAGGCGGCGGCGGGAGCGGGCGGGAGGCGGAGCGGCGCCGCGAGGGCCUCAAGGUGACA